UACGUAGGGGGCAAGCGUUGUCCGGAUUUAUUGGGCGUAAAGAGCGUGUAGGCGGUUCGGUAGGUCCGUUGUGAAAACUCGAGCUCAACCUCGAGACGCCGAUGGAAACCCUCGAACUAGAGUCCGGAAGAGGAGAGUGGAAUUCCUGGUGUAGCGGUGAAAUGCGCAGAUAUCAGGAAGAACACCCGUGGCUAAGGCGGCUCUCUAGUACGGUACUGACGCUGAGACGCGAAAAGCGUGGGGGAGCGAACAGG
rnacentral:rRNA from 1 species